rnacentral:rRNA from 1 species
GAUGAACGCUAGCUACAAGCUUAACACAUGCAAGUCGAGGGGCAGCAUUAGGUAGCAAUACUGAGAUGGCGACCGGCGCAAGGGUGCGUAACGCGUGAGCAACUUGCCCGUUUCUGGGGGAUAACCGGUGGAAACGCCGACUAAUACCCCAUAGUAUUGGAUUUAGGCAUCUUUAUCCAAUUAAAGAAUUUCGGAAACGGAUAGGCUCGCGUGACAUUAGCUAGAUGGCGGGUAACGGCCCACCAUGGCUACGAUGUCUAGGGGUUCUGAGAGGAAGGUCCCCCACACUGGAACUGAGACACGGUCCAGACUCCUACGGGAGGCAGCAGUGAGGAAUAUUGGUCAAUGGUCGGAAGACUGAACCAGCCAUGCCGCGUGAAGGUCACGGCCCUAUGGGUCUUAAACUUCUUUUGUAAGGGAGCAAUAAGGCGUACGUGUACGUCGAUGAGAGUACCUUACGAAUAAGCAUCGGCUAACUCCGUG